AGACAUGUUAUAAUCUAUUUAUCACAUAUCUAAGUUCUGCAGAAUAGAGACACAAAGUUCAAUUAUUACAAUUUGAUAAAACAUAACAGGUAAAAUUUUAAAUUUUGUAUCACAAAAGUGUCGUUAAGGACACAAUGACGUGACGUCAUUUGGAAUCAGGGCACAAUAUCAAUAUCGUCUUUUUUGCCCCGGGCAAUUUUGAGGUUAUUGCAUAUGCAAAACCCAACGUAUUCG
rnacentral:lncRNA from 1 species